rnacentral:rRNA from 1 species
UAGAGUUUGAUCAUGGCUCAGAGUGACCGUUGGCGGCGUGGAUUAGGCAUGCAAGUCGAGCGAUCGUAGCAAUACGGGAGCGGCAAACGGGGUAGGAAUACAUCGGAACGUACCUUUUGGUUGAGAAUAGCGUUGGGAAACUGACGGUAAUACUCAAUAAAGUCGAGAGACCAAAGGUUUACUGCCGGAAGAGCGGCCGAUGCGAUAUUAGGUAGUUGGUGGGGUAAUGGCCUACCAAGCCUGAGAUGUCUAGGGGGUGUGAGAGCAUGGCCCCCACCACUGGGACUGAGAUACUGCCCAGACACCUACGGGUGGCUGCAGUCGAGGAUCUUCGUCAAUGGGCGAAAGCCUGAACGAGCGACGCCGCGUGCGGGAUGAAGGCCCUUGGGUUGUAAACCGCUGUCAGGGGGGAUGAAACCGUAAGGUUGACAGAGCCCCAGAGGAAGCACGGGCUAAGUUCGUGCCAGCAGCCGCGGUAAUA